rnacentral:misc_RNA from 1 species
UGAGCAGACAACAUAAUCAAACUUCGGUGUCAGAGUACGCAGAAUCUUCUCUGCAAUGGCCACAUCUUCCAUUUUUUCACCAUGAAACCUCAUUUUAUUACUUAUCUCCAUGGUUCUUGCAAUAUAACUAGUAAUGGACUCACCAUCCUUCAUUUGUAGGAUUUCAAAAUCCCGUUUCAAGGCUUGAAGCUGUGCUCGCUUUACUCUUGCUGAACCUGCAUAUUUCUUUUUCAUUGAGUCCCAAAUUUGUUUGGAAGUAUCUUUGCAUAUGAUAGUUUCCAAAAUGGAACGAUCAAUGGCUUGGAACAAGUAAUUCUUUGCUUUGAAAUCCUUCAAUUUCAGCCCUUCAAUUUCUGUUUUCUGCACAUCCGUUGGAGUUGCUCCAUCUGCUGAUUCUGGAAUUCCAACUGAAACGAUUUGCCAGUACUCCUUCGAUCUCAGAAAAUUUUCCAUCAACAUGCUCCAAUGAUCAUAGUGACCAUCAAAACGAGGA